rnacentral:rRNA from 1 species
GAUGAACGCUGGCGGCGUGCCUAAUACAUGCAAGUCGAGCGAACGGACGAGAAGCUUGCUUCUCUGAUGUUAGCGGCGGACGGGUGAGUAACACGUGGAUAACCUACCUAUAAGACUGGGAUAACUUCGGGAAACCGGAGCUAAUACCGGAUAAUAUUUUGAACCGCAUGGUUCAAAAGUGAAAGACGGUCUUGCUGUCACUUAUAGAUGGAUCCGCGCUGCAUUAGCUAGUUGGUAAGGUAACGGCUUACCAAGGCAACGAUGCAUAGCCGACCUGAGAGGGUGAUCGGCCACACUGGAACUGAGACACGGUCCAGACUCCUACGGGAGGCAGCAGUAGGGAACCUUCCGCAAUGGGCGAAAGCCUGACGGAGCAACGCCGCGUGAGUGAUGAAGGUCUUCGGAUCGUAAAACUCUGUUAUUAGGGAAGAACAUGUGUGUAAGUAACUGUGCACAUCUUGACGGUACCUAAUCAGAAAGCCACGGCUAACUACGUG